GACGAACGCUGGCGGCGUGCUUAACACAUGCAAGUCGAACGGAAAGGCCCUGCUUUUGUGGGGUGCUCGAGUGGCGAACGGGUGAGUAACACGUGAGUAACCUACCCUUGACUUUGGGAUAACUUCAGGAAACUGGGUCUAAUACCGGAUAGGAGCUCCUGCUUCAUGGUGGGGGUUGGAAAGUUUCGGCGGUUGGGGAUGGACUCGCGGCUUAUCAGCUUGUUGGUUGGGUAGUGGCUUACCAAGGCUUUGACGGGUAGCCGGCCUGAGAGGGUGACCGGCCACAUUGGGACUGAGAUACGGCCCAGACUCCUACGGGAGGCAGCAGUGGGGAAUAUUGCACAAUGGGCGGAAGCCUGAUGCAGCAACGCCGCGUGCGGGAUGACGGCCUUCGGGUUGUAAACCGCUUUCGCCUGUGACGAAGCGUGAGUGACGGUAAUGGGUAAAGAAGCACCGGCUAACUACGUG
rnacentral:rRNA from 1 species